rnacentral:siRNA from 1 species
AAUGCUCAAUAAUCUCCAAAUGCA